AGAAAACGGAGGAGGUAACAUCAGUACUGAGUACAAGACUGUUUGCUGUGAAGCAGAGGCAGAUGUCUGGCGCCACAACCCUGACCUGAAGUGCUACAUUCAGGAGUCACAUCCAAAACACACUGCACUGGCAGGUGCCAUUCCUGGUAAUCCUGAAUUUCUCACCAGCAAAAAGAGCAGCCUUGGCAUCUUGCUGUCAUUCCUGUUUGUUGGGGUUUGCACAGGAUGGGGCACCAUGUAUUACUUCUUGCGGCUGCGGCGUCGCCAAGCUUCUAGGCAAGACAGAGAGGCUUCUGACAGAGAAAGGCUCACAGAUAACCAUCUACAACGGAGAGAACUUCUCUGCCAGCAGCAUCCUCCUCUCUCAUGAUGUACAGCAACCAGCUAAACACAGACUCAUUUUCCAUGGGAACUGCUGCCCUUGUAAUCCCAAAUCGUCCUGUUUUCACAAAGGUAGCUUCACCACAUCCACACCUUCUCCAAGCACUGUGACUCUUGUCCAGCUCCAGGCCUUUUGAGCAGCACAGGCAGCACCAGGAGCCCCCAUCCUCCUCUCCUUGGCUUGGCUGCAGACAGCAGCACCCCAGGGUGUGUGGCUGACUCAGCAGCACUGAAACCAGUUGAAUUCUCUCUGGGACAAAGUGGGAACAGCUCUGAAAUACUUCCCAUGCCCUCUGCAUGGCUGUCACUUGGUAAUGCCACAGCAGCACCCAGGUGUCUGUAUUGUUUGAAUUCUCAGGUCAUCUCUGCAUUCACCAAAGCCUUUUGCACCACAAGCUGGCUGGUAGGUUGAACUGGAAGAGUUUGGACGAGAUAUUUGAUGUUGCCCCCACCUGCAGGCUGAGGAAUGACUGAGUGUUCCUGUGCAGGGCUGGGUGGGAGGGUGUGUCCAGCUCCCUCAGGAAUGGCAUGGGGUCACAGAGGUCCCCAGGCUGAGCAGAACUCUGGAAUCAAUCUUCCUGACAAAUUAGGCAAGUUUAGACAGCAUGAGAUGAGUACAGCUCCUCAGGAAUCACUUUGGGUAUUUGGUAUCUUUAAAUCAUUCCCCAUUCCCACCUGAUUUGAAUAAAUCCUCAGCUUUUGCAUAGGAUCUAAUUUACUAUCAGGGCUGUUGAGCAAAAAUCAGUGGCAGCACAAAGGGAGAAGCAGAUCCCUAAAACAAUGUGAAUAUUUGCUGAAUCACUGUCCUUUUGCCACACACACAGUUCUUGGUUCAUUUCUGCUUUGACUGGAUUUUGUUUGUUGCUUGUUUUUUUCCUCAAUGUGUCUCAACCAUCCAGUCAGUAGCAGAGUGAACCUUGCCAACAAACUCUGUUGUGCUGAUGCUUAAUAUCAAAUCUGGAUUUUACUGAUCCCCUUGCUGGUGAUGUUUUAAGAGAUCUCCAACACUUUGAACAGGUGAUUCCCAUUUGAUGCCUCUGUUCCUUGCUAUUCAUUGUACAAAUGUUUGUUUUCAGCUCCUUUGGUCACUGGGGUCAUUGGAGAGCUCUUAGGGUUUCAUUAUACAUUUGCAUACCUUUGUUUCUCAAUGUAGACCGGAUUUACACUUUCUGCAGUCAUCUUUCAGAGAAUCUGUGUUAUCCAAUUCCCUGAUGUUAAUAAAUUCUUCUU